GUUAGGAUUCUAAUUAAUUUAGAUUUAUUUCCUAUUUAAUAUUUUGGCAAUUUCUAUUGGUUUUCCUUAUUUUUCAUAGGGUUUUACUUUUCUUUAUUUCCUUAUUUCAAGCUUAUUUCUUUUCCUCUAAUUGGGAUUUAUCUAUAUAAAGAGAUCCUAGAUUUUUGUAAGAAAUAAUCUCAUAAUUACUUUCUUAAGAAGCAUAAAGCUUUCUCUUUUCUAGUGGAUUCCAGAGUUUUAUCUUUCAAGUUCAUCGCUUGUGAACUUGUGUUUCAAUCUAGGUUUAGCGCUUGCUUUUCCUAAGGUUUUCCGACUGCGUCAGGUGGUAUCAGAGCAGGCUUUCUCCUGUCUCUUUUUCGAAACUUGAUCAGCCAUGGGAGAUCAACCGGUGACCAAAGCAGAUUUUCAGGGUUUUACGUCGGCUAUUACCACGUCCCUGACUGCUUUAAUCAAGGAGAUAAAGGAAUUGACAAAUCAGGUUAACAAGACCAACAACAACGCAAAUCAACAAAGAGGCAGAGGAGAAAAACUAAUUAGGGCUUCACGAAGUGGAACUGAUAUUGGAGAUCAAUUAACGACGUUAAUCAAUAGGAUCAAUAUUCAACAAAAAGCAAGAGAGGAAUCAAUUCAGGUUCCACAAGGAGGAAACCAUCGUGUUGUGAUUGAAGAGAAAUUGAUCUCUGAUGAAGAAGAAUACAUGGAGGAAGAGAGUGGACAAAGAAAUCUACACAAUAAUCAUGAUUCACGCAUGGAUGCUGAUGAAGAAUUCAAGAAAGACGAGAUAGUUGAUAGAGAUAAUCAACAAAGCAAUCAUGACUAUCAGAUGAAGACUAAUAUUCCAUUAUUCUGUGAAACUUCUGAAUUGAAAGAGACAAUAAUUCUAGAAGGGGCUCUAGUGAUCCAAAAGAACUUCAAAGAGUUGAUUGUAGAUGCUCAUGGAGAGCACUACAAAGAAAAGAAUCUAGGGAGAAAGAUUUCAAGCGUCUUAGUUAUGAUUCAUAGCAAGAGAAAUCCAUAUGAGUUUUUCAUAACAGUAUUGGAUUGAUAAAUGUUGUUAAAGAGAAGAAAACAAUCUUAGAGGAAGUGCAUGAGAUUCUAAUUGAUUUUAAGGAGCUCAGUUCAGAUGGAUAUCUACAUGACUUCCCUCCUAUGCGGGAUAAGGUAGAUGAAAUUCUUUAUCCAUAAUAUAACUCGAGGUCGAGUUCUUUGGAAGUGGAGGAGUCUGAUGCAGGAGCUUAAUCGUUAGGAUUCUAAUUAAUUUAGAUUUAUUACCUAUUUAAUAUUUUGGCAAUUUCUAUUGGUUUUCCUUCUUUUUCAUAGGGUUUUACUUUUCUUUAUUUCCUUAUUUCAAGCUUAUUUCUUUUCCUCUAAUUGGGAUUUAUCUAUAUAAAGAGAUCCUAGGUUUUUGUAAGAAACAAUCUCAUAAUUACUUUCUUAAGAAGCAUAAAGCUUUCUCUUUUCUAGUGGAUUCUAGAGUUUCUGGUGGAUUCCAGAGUUUUAUCUUUCAAGUUCAUCGCUUGUGAACUUGUGUUUCAAUCUAGGUUUAGCGCUUGCUUUU
rnacentral:lncRNA from 1 species